rnacentral:rRNA from 1 species
AACGAACGCUGGCGGCAGGCCUAACACAUGCAAGUCGAGCGCGCCCUUCGGGGUGAGCGGCGGACGGGUGGGUAACGCGUGGGAACGUGCCCUUUUCUACGGAAUAGCCUCGGGAAACUGAGAGUAAUACCGUAUACGCCCUUUGGGGGAAAGAUUUAUCGGAAAAGGAUCGGCCCGCGUUGGAUUAGGUAGUUGGUGGGGUAAUGGCCUACCAGGCCGACGAUCCAUAGCUGGUUUGAGAGGAUGAUCAGCCACACUGGGACUGAGACACGGCCCAGACUCCUACGGGAGGCAGCAGUGGGGAAUCUUAGACAAUGGGGGCAACCCUGAUCUAGCCAUGCCGCGUGAGUGAUGAAGGCCUUAGGGUUGUAAAGCUCUUUCAGCUGGGAAGAUAAUGACGGUACCAGCAGAAGAAGCCCCGGCUAACUCCGUG